AGGCGCGCAGCCGCACAGGCGGAGUCCGGGAGGCACCGCCAGGGUCCGCCGGGGACACCGACCGAGGGCGCCAAGGAAGCAGUGGGGAGCCCAGGACACGACCGCGGACUGGAGGGGCCGCCGCGGGGUCGCGCCGGGCUGCACCGGGCGUCCGACAGCCGGAGAUCGUGCUCCGGGGGCAGCGCCGGCGUCCUGCCGCCCUGCUGCGUCCACCGGGAGACUCCGGGGCCUCCCGCGGGCAGCCGGGCAGCCGGGCAGCCGGAGCGGGCUCCUGGACCCGUGCGGAAGGGUGAGACAGGGAGCUGAGCUGCGUGCCCCGAGUUCCUGGCGACGGAUGCUGCUGGAGCCUGGUCCCGCGCGCCCUCUAGGGCUUCCUGGGCUUCGUGUUAGCCCUGCUGAGACACCCAGGAUGCUGGCUCAGUAUGGGGCAGAGCCAGCUUCGUGAGCCCAGCCGGACUGACUCCAGUUUGCACCCACUGUCUGUGCUUCAAAGUUGGGCUCCUGGCUCCUAGCCCCACCCACACAGCAGACAGCCCCUCUUUCUACCUCCUGGCUCCCUCCAGCUGAGGACCUCAGAGCCCACAGGCAAGGAACCCUCUCUACAGGUCAGCUUUUCACUAUUCCAUUGAAAGCCGUAGCCCUUCUUCCACUGAAUUUGCAGCUAUGGACCCUUUCUCUGUUUGAGGCAGUGACGGACACAGGCUGGGUGUCCAGGUGACGACUGAAGGUCUGGACGGGUCUGCUGGCUGACUGGCUUCCUGGCAGGCAGAGGGGAGUUUCUAGACAAGGCAUCUGCACUCUCCUCCACCUUCUCCUGCACCUGUGGCCCUGGCAGCCUCCAGGGACACCUGCUGGAGACCUACUGCAGAGGCGACCCUCCUCCUCAAGACCUCUCCGCCACAGGUGCUCAGUGGUGAGCGGAGGUCGCCAGGCCACCUUGGAACUGUGCCCUCAUUGGCCACAAAGUUAAAUAAAAUGGUUGCGUUGUAGUGAUAACCUCUCUGACUUGGGCUUUCAUUGUCCCGCUUGAGGUCCCAAAGUCCCCAUGACCAAAGCUGUUCCCGAAAACCAUUUCCUGUCUGUACGGUGGAGAGGGUGUUCCUGGAGCACUGGAACCUGCCUGGUUCGAGAAGGCAGAGAGCCAGAGUGGAUGGCAGCUCCCUGCAGGACCUGCGCUGGCCCCAGAGGCCUCUGCCCAGGCGGGUUUGUGGUAUCCUUACCAGAACUGGCAGUGGUGCAUCUGCAGACUGUCUGAGGCCACCACGAAAGCAACAGAAGAACAGAGAAGGGCCCCAGGUGGGAGUGUGGAGGGCUUUUGAAGGUGGGGAGAGUGGGAUGGAGCAGAGAUGAAGGGAUGUGUCUGUGCUGGCCCUGGAGCGGCAGCGAGAGGAGACUCCUGGGUACCCCAUAUCCCCCUUGGCCGCUGACCGGGAGCCGCAGCCUUUGGAAAUAACACCAAAUUUGUUUUAUUGAAGUAGAUUAUAGGUACUUCCUAAAGUCCAGUGAAACCUAUUUUGGAAAACAGCGUGGGUCUGCUCCCCCCUACCCCCCCC
rnacentral:lncRNA from 1 species